rnacentral:rRNA from 1 species
UUUAUACGGAGAGUUUGAUCCUGGCUCAGGACGAACGCUGGCGGCGUGCUU